GACGAACGCUGGCGGCGUGCUUAACACAUGCCAGUCGAACGGAAAGGCCCUGCUUUUGUGGGGUGCUCGAGUGGCGAACGGGUGAGUAACACGUGAGUAACCUGCCCUUGACUUUGGGAUAACUUCAGAAAACUGGGGCUAAUACCGGAUAGGAGCUCCUGCUGCAUGGUGGGGGUUGGAAAGUUUCGGCGGUUGGGGAUGGACUCGCGGCUUAUCAGCUUGUUGGUGGGGUAGUGGCUUACCAAGGCUUUGACGGGUAGCCGGCCUGAGAGGGUGACCGGCCACAUUGGGACUGAGAUACGGCCCAGACUCCUACGGGAGGCAGCGGUGGGGAAUAUUGCACAAUGGGCGGAAGCCUGAUGCAGCAACGCCGCGUGCGGGAUGACGGCCUUCGGGUUGUAAACCGCUUUCGCCUGUGACGAAGCGUGAGUGACGGUAAUGGGUAAAGAAGCACCGGCUAACUACGUG
rnacentral:rRNA from 1 species